UGUUUUUAUGUGUGCUAAAUUCAUAUAAGUUUGCAUUUAGUUUGUAUUAAAUGUCAAAUUCUCAUAUUUCUUAGCAGUUUAGAUGUCUGCCCUUGUCUUUCCGUGGGAGGCCUGCAGCACAGGGAUCGGCGCACAGCAGGCCCAGGCUGGUGCCAGUGCUGGGAGUUUGUCUGGACUCUCGAAGCUUCUGAUUCCUCAUCUCCACGGUGCAGGAAACCAAGGACCCACUUCGAAGGCUCGUCCUGAGGGAUCUGUUAAGGCCGAUGGAACUCUCACACGGUCAAACUGGCUGUUGUAAUUAUCAUUAUUUUGGGGAAAUGUUCAUCUCUGCUCUUGCUGUUGACAAUACUACUUUUGUGGGAAAGUAAAAUAGCUCAGCCUCAAAAUAUAUUUCUUUGACGUA